rnacentral:rRNA from 1 species
UGGCAGUCGAGCGGUAAGGCUCCUUCGGGAGUACACGAGCGGCGAACGGGUGAGUAACACGUGAGCAAUCUGCCCUUCACACAGGGAUAACCCUCGGAAACGAGAGCUAAUACCUGAUACGACCACUUCAGGCAUCUGAUGGUGGUGGAAAGUUCCGGCGGUGAAGGAUGAGCUCGCGGCCUAUCAGCUUGUUGGUGGGGUAACGGCCCACCAAGGCAACGACGGGUAGCCGGCCUGAGAGGGUGACCGGCCACACUGGGACUGAGACACGGCCCAGACUCCUACGGGAGGCAGCAGUGGGGAAUAUUGGACAAUGGGCGAAAGCCUGAUCCAGCAACGCCGCGUGAGGGAUGACGGCCUUCGGGUUGUAAACCUCUUUCAGCAGGGACGAAGCGCAAGUGACGGUACCUGCAGAAGAAGCACCGGCCAACUACGUGCCAGCAGCCGCGGUAAUACGUAGGGUGCGAGCGUUGUCCGGAAUUAUUGGGCGUAAAGGGCUCGUAGGCGGUUUGUCACGUCGGGAGUGAAAACUCGGGGCUUAACCCCGAGCCUGCUUCCGAUACGGGCAGACUAGAGGUAUGCAGGGGAGAACGGAAUUCCUGGUGUAGCGGUGAAAUGCGCAGAUAUCAGGAGGAACACCGGUGGCGAANGCGGUUCUCUGGGCAUUACCUGACGCUGANGAGCGAAAGUGUGGGGAGCGAACAGGAUUAGAUACCCUGGUAGUCCACACCGUAAACGUUGGGCGCUAGGUGUGGGACUCAUUCCACGAGUUCCGUGCCGCAGCUAACGCAUUNAGCGCCCCGCCUGGGGAGUACGGCCGCAAGGCUAAAACUCANANGAAUUAACGGGGGCCCGCACAAGCGGCGGANCAUGCGGAUUAAUUCNAUGCAACGCGAANAACCUUACCUGGGUUUGACAUAUGGAGAAAUCCCCUA